rnacentral:rRNA from 1 species
GAUGAACGCUGGCGGCGUGCCUAACACAUGCAAGUCGAGCGAACAGACGAGGAGCUUGCGCCUCUGACGUUAGCGGAGGGCGGGUGAGUAACACGUGGAUAACCUACCUAUAUGACUGGGAUAACUUCGGGAAAGCGGCGCUAAUACCGGAUAAUCUCUUGAACCGCAUGGGGCAAUGGUGAAAGACGGUUUUGCUGGCAGUUCUAGCUGGAUCCGGGCGGCAUUAGAUAGUUGGUAGGGUAACGGCUUACUAAGGCGACGAUGCGUAGCCGACGUGAGAGAGUGAUCGGCCGCACGGGAGGGGGGACGCGGUCCAGGCUCCUGAGAGACGCAGCAGUAGCGAAUCUUCCGCAAUGGGCGAGAGCAUGACGGAGCAACGCCGCGUGAGUGGUGGAGGUCUUCGGAGCGUAAUGCUCGGUUAUUAGUGGAAAACAAAUGUGUAAUUAACCAUGCACUGCGUGACGGUACCUAAUAAAGAAGCCACGGCUAACUACGUG